CUCCCAAAAUCCCUAGAUGCUCAAAAGCAGGUUAGUAGCAGGUGUAAAGGACACAACCAGUUGGGACCAGCUCUGUACAGCUGCUCCUUUAUGUUGGACUUCACUUCCAAGCCAAACAGCCCUGCGUGAGGCUGGGCCCUGCCCCAGCCCCAGGGGUGAACUGUGAUUGGUCUAAAUCAUAUCUGUCCUCCCUACGCAUUGGUCAAGGUGGGGGCGUGUGUGCAAUUCUGGCCAAUGAGCGCUGGGAAGAGGCGUAACAGUGCAUACUUGAAGAUUCUCUGCUGUCUUCGGAAACAGCAGGAGGAAGGGCUUGGUAGGGUGCGGGGCGGUGCUGUAGCCCUUUUGCUCCGAGAAGGAAAGCAGCCAACCCCUGAGACAGCUUGUCAUGUGCUCGACAAUCCCAUCCACCUCAGGACCUUCAGACAUGCUGUUCCUCCCCGCUCUGUGUGAUUCGCAUCUACCGCGCCUUCAGGUCUCCGAUCAGACACUGCCAAGUGAAAACACAUCCAGAUUCAGGAGCUGCGCCACCGGCGUCAACUCUGUGGAAUCUAAGCACUGCACAGGACGCCACCAGUCGACGGGGUCAAACGAAGGGGAUUCUGAGUUCACCAUAGCUACCGCCUUCUCUUCAACUUCUCAGUGGAACUGCAACACACUUGGGAAGAAAGGCACGAGUCAUGCAAGUGACAUCCCAGAGGGCGCUGCAGAGCACACACGUUGGUGUGAGCACUGCCCAGGUCAAGCAGUAGAUCAUUAGCAGCACCCCAGAAACUCCCCUAGGCACUGCCCCACGCUAUCCCCACCCUCCGAGGUAGUCAGAGGACUGCUGUGCUGGUGCUCACUCCACAGGUGAGUUUGGGUGUUGGCUCUUAACUCACGAAUUUAAGGUAUUUUUAACAUUUAGUGUUACCAGGCAUGCACCGAGUCUGGCCCAGCCUAGUAUAGCCCGGGUUCUUUGUUCUUUGGUUCUUGGGAACAGGGAGCAGAUAGGUGUUUGGCAUCCACAUCACAGCCACUGUUCAGAGACGCUUCUGAGAACGAGGUAUAGAGCUCUCAGGCUCUUUGUUUCGGGUCUUUAGCAACCUACCAGCUUCUCUGAUCUCGCUCCCAUUUCGCUCUGUCCUUCAGAACCACAAAUGGGCUUUGCCAGGGUUAGAUUUGCUUCCCGGUUGUUGGAU
rnacentral:lncRNA from 1 species